CAGUAGCCGCGGUAAUACGUAGGUCCCGAGCGUUGUCCGGAUUUAUUGGGCGUAAAGCGAGCGCAGGCGGUUAGAUAAGUCUGAAGUUAAAGGCUGUGGCUUAACCAUAGUACGCUUUGGAAACUGUUUAACUUGAGUGCAAGAGGGGAGAGUGGAAUUCCAUGUGUAGCGGUGAGAUGCGUAGAUAUAUGGAGGAACACCGGUGGCGAAAGCGGCUCUCUGGCUUGUAACUGACGCUGAGGCUCGAAAGCGUGGGGAGCAAACAGGAUUAGAUACCCCAGUAGUCCCUGUCUCUUAUACC
rnacentral:rRNA from 1 species